ACAUUUUGGGCAUGCCUAAAUAAACAACAUUUCUUUAUAACGCAAAUAACCGUGUUAUGGCCAAACAUGCUGUUUCUGUGUGGCUGGAACGUCAUCAAUAGGUCUGUUGAAACAGAAUAGCGAUGCAAUCUCAGCAGCAGCAGGAGGCAUGAGGAGGAGGAGACAAAGGAACUCAGGCACAUGAUGAGGAUGAGAGAGUGACUCAACAUUCAGGUGUGUCGGCCUCAGAUGGGCGGACCUGAUCUCCUCGGUCGCUGCUUGGGACACUGUCCGAGCUUUCCCUAACACUGGACUCCCGGUACUGCCUCAGGACUAACCCGACACUGACCGACCACCCUAGCAGAAACUUAAACCAAGUCUUACGUAAUUUUCCCCAGCGUGCUCGGAAUAUGUUGUUUAAAGUGUUUCGGCGAACUCUUCUGUAGAUCCGAGUUUGAUCGUAUUAUCUUAGAGCAUCUGCGGCUAGUAAAGUAGCUAGCCUAGCUGCGUUUCAAAACAACUGAAUAAAUUACAACGGAGGAGUUGUCGAGUAAUGGACACAAGUUUGAUCAAGCGGCUCGGAGAGACGGAACUUAAGAAGCAGAUCAAGGCUUGAGGUUUGGUAGGAUUGAAUGUUUUUUACAGGUGUGUCCGUUAAAUCGCCCCACAUGUCAAGCGUUUCUGUGGAUCGUGCGCAUGACUGUUUGAUUUUCAUAUUAUAAAGACGCAAGGUCGCUUAUCCCAGAAGGACCGUCUGUUCAUUAUAAUCUUAUACCGUAAAGUUGUUGUGGCUUUACGAAUGAUUCUCCUUUAUUAAUAUGUUCCCUUCAAUUGAUUGUUAAAUCGAGUUGUAACACAGUUAGAGCGCCAGAUAGUUUCGCUUUUACCUUGGGCAUGUUUGUAUUUGGGAAUUUCGUUGUGAUUUUCUCUUGCCUGAUAAGCGGACCUCAUUCUAGUAUUAGGGGACCGACAGGGAGUUUUCUCACUUCCGGCUUGAAGCUGCAUUCCUACAGUGUUUUGGAGUAGCAGUGAUCUUUCAAAGUGUGGGAAGCUACCAGUCCCUGCAUGCAUCGGUUAAACAGGCAAAAUGGAGUUGUUGUGACUAAGAUGCAAUCUAUAUAUCUGGGAAAUCAAGAUUUGGAGACGAAACAACUUGGAUCUCAAACAAACUGCUCUGUUUUCCGGAUGACUUGGUUCCUCUACUCUGCAUUACAUGCAUCGUCAGCAAUUAAAUAACCGUUCACGUUUUAA